rnacentral:rRNA from 1 species
GCGGCAUGCCUUACACAUGCAAGUCGAACGGUAACAGGGUAGCUUGCUCCGCUGACGAGUGGCGAACGGGUGAGUAAUAUAUCGGAACGUGCCCUANAGUGGGGGAUAACUAGUCGAAAGAUUAGCUAAUACCGCAUACGAUCUAAGGAUGAAAGUGGGGGAUCGCAAGACCUCAUGCUCGUGGAGCGGCCGAUAUCUGAUUAGCUAGUUGGUAGGGUANAANCCUACCAAGGCAUCGAUCAGUAGCUGGUCUGAGAGGACGACCAGCCACACUGGGACUGANACACGGCCCAGACUCCUACGGGAGGCANCAGUGGGGAAUUUUGGACAAUGGGCGCAAGCCUGAUCCANCAAUGCCGCGUGAGUGAAGAAGGCCUUCGGGUUGUAAAGCUCUUUUGUCCGGG